AGUGAACGCUGGCGGUAGGCCUAACACAUGCAAGUCGAACGGCAGCACAGGAGAGCUUGCUCUCUGGGUGGCGAGUGGCGGACGGGUGAGGAACACAUCGGAAUCUACUCUGUCGUGGGGGAUAACGUAGGGAAACUUACGCUAAUACCGCAUACGACCUACGGGUGAAAGCAGGGGACCUUCGGGCCUUGCGCGAUUGAAUGAGCCGAUGUCGGAUUAGCUAGUUGGCGGGGUAAAGGCACACCAAGGCGACGAUCCGUAGCUGGUCUGAGAGGAUGAUCAGCCACACUGGAACUGAGACACGGUCCAGACUCCUACGGGAGGCAGCAGUGGGGAAUAUUGGACAAUGGGCGCAAGCCUGAUCCAGCCAUACCGCGUGGGUGAAGAAGGCCUUCGGGUUGUAAAGCCCUUUUGUUGGGAAAGAAAUCCAGCUGGCUAAUACCCGGUUGGGAUGACGGUACCCAAAGAAUAAGCACCGGCUAACUUCGUGCCAGCAGCCGCCGUAA
rnacentral:rRNA from 1 species